GCGGGCGUAGUUCAGUGGUAGAAUGUCUCCUUGCCAAGGAGAAGGUCGAGAGUUCAAAUCUCUUCGCCCGCU
rnacentral:tRNA from 1 species